AAAAGAAGUUUAUUGUACUGAAUUGAACAAUUUAAACCACUUCUGCUUAAUUUUAAAGUAAAUCUCCUAAUAUGGCAGGUGGUGUUAAUAUAUGUCCUAAGGUGCUGCAAUAUGUUUCUUUUAGUGCUUGACUUAUUCUACCACCAAUCUAUUAAGGAUAAAAGAUUUGGAUUGGGUUUAAUAAAGCAAGAUUGUCUGUGAAAGAAUGUUUCGUCAAGUACUUAAGAAUCAACAUCAGAAAUUCGAAUUCUGCAAUAAUGAUACAUAGCCAAUGAAAAUUCCAUUGGAUGGAAGUGAGGAUGUUUUGAAAGAAAGGUAGGAAAACAGAGGGCACAAAAAGGAGAAAUAAGAUGUUAGAACACUUUCUGAGACGUAAAGGCUGGGGUCAGUUAGACAUAUUAGAAGCAGAAGCAGGAUUAAACACUGAAGAAGGCCCAUAUUACAUUACUGUUCUCGUACAGUUGUGAUAUGAGGUGUUGCAGUUCUUGGGAAAUGUAAAAACAGACUCAGGAUAGCAAAUAGUGGAGGAGUGUGUCCAAUUAGAUUCUGGAUUGAUGACCUUAUGAUGAUGAUGGAUAUUUUUCUUUAUAUUGUCAUAAAAACAUUUUUUAUCAAAAUUAAAUAUUAAGAAAGUGAAGUACAGAAUUGCAUAUGACGUCAUAUUGCUAUAGUUUUCUUAUUUGAUGCCAGAGUGAAAAAUCUGCUGCUAAUUUGAAUUCCUUACAUCGUUUUGCUUCAGAUUAUGUGUCUGUACAGUUAUAAAUACGUUUAUAAUGUAAUUAUAAAAUAAUAACAUUUAGUACCCUGUUUACCAAAUAGUAAAAGUGCACUGUUUGAUUUAUUUCAAAUGUAACUGCACUUAUGUCUUAUAUUUCAAUUCUGUACUUUAUUUUACAUCGAUAUAUUUUGUAUAUUCAUAAAAAGAACUUUAAUAUAUGCUUUGUCAAUUUAUUUAUUAAUUUUCAAGUUAAAGUAAGAUUAAUUCUGUUUCUGUAUUGUAUUCU